GGGGGCGGGCCCGGAGGGUCUCCAGCGCGCAGGCGCCUCCCUCCCGCCUUCCCCGCCCCGGCUCCGGGGCGCGAGGCCUGCGGCGGGGACGCGGACUGAGGCCCGUGCUGCAUCAAGGCACAGAGAGGCGCGUUCGUUUUCUCGAGGACACACGGCGGGUGUGAGCCCACGCGAGAACGCAGCCCGCGGUGCUGAUUCCGGUUGUCUGAGCGCCAGCGUUACAGGUCCAGUCGUCUGCCUUCAGGACAAGCACCAUCAUGCCCCUUCUGGUGCCCAGGUGGCCUGCGUGGCUCUUCUGGUGGCGGGCAGCCUGCACUCGGAGAGCCUUCGUGCAGCAGAGGAUGUGGGCAGGGGCCACCAGGAUCUCUGGGCUGGGCGGCCCCGCGGGGGCCCUGGGCACCAGCCCCCUGGUCCGAAGAGGCAGUUCCUCUGCUUCCUCCAGUGCUCCUGGGGUGAGGCUAACUCGGGACCGCUACCCCGUGCAGCGGCUGCCGUUCUCCGUGGUGUCUGAGGACGACCUGGCCGCCCUGGAGCGCAUCAUCCCUGGCAGGGUCAUCACAGACCCAGAGGAGCUGGAGGCUCCGAACGUAGACUGGCUGAGGACGGUCCGAGGCUCCAGCAAGGUGCUCCUCCGGCCCCGGACAUCCCAGGAGGUGGCUCAAAUCCUCAGGUACUGUCACGAGAGGAACCUGGCGGUGAACCCACAGGGCGGCAACACAGGCCUGGUGGGGGGCAGCACCCCCGUCUUUGACGAGAUCGUCCUGUCCACAGCCCUCAUGAGCCAGGUCCUCAGCUUCCACGACGUGUCAGGGGUUCUGGUUUGCCAGGCGGGGUGCGUCCUGGAGGAGCUGAGCCGGUACGUGGAGGAGCGGGGCUUCGUCAUGCCGCUGGACCUGGGGGCUAAGGGCAGCUGCCACAUUGGGGGCAACGUGGCGACCAACGCGGGUGGCCUGCGGUUUCUGCGAUACGGCUCACUGCGCGGGACUGUCUUGGGCCUGGAAGUGGUACUGGCCGACGGCACCCUCCUGAACUGCCUGACGUCACUGCGGAAGGACAACACGGGCUAUGACCUGAAGCAGCUCUUCAUCGGCUCAGAGGGCACCCUGGGGGUCAUCACCGCUGUGUCCAUCCUGUGUCCGCCCAAGCCCAGUGCCGUGAACGUGGCCUUCCUUGGUUGUCCUGGCUUCGCGGAGGUGCUGCAGACCUUCAGCACCGGCAGGAGGCUGCUGGGCGAGAUCCUGUCGGCGUUCGAGUUCAUGGACGCCGAGUGCCUGCAGCUGGUCGGGCGCCACCUGCAUCUCACCAACCCCGUGCAAGAAAGUCCAUUCUAUGUUCUCAUCGAGACCUCGGGCUCUGGAGCAGAUCACGAUGCUGAGAAGCUGAGCAGCUUCCUGGAGCAGGUCCAGGGCUCCGGGCUGGUGACCGACGGGACCCUGGCCACCGAUCAGAGGAGAAUCCAGGCGCUAUGGGCCCUGCGGGAAAGGAUCUCAGAGGCCCUGAGCCACGACGGCUACGUGUACAAAUACGACCUGUCCCUGCCCCUGGACCGGCUCUACGACCUUGUGGACGACCUGCGUGCCCGCCUCGGCCCGAGUGCAAAGCACGUGGUGGGCUACGGCCACCUGGGGGACGGCAACCUGCACCUCAAUGUGACGGCGGAGGCCUUCUGCGAGUCGCUGCUGGGGGCCCUGGAGCCCUACGUGUAUGAGUGGACGGCCGGCAGCGGGGCAGCGUCAGUGCCGAGCACGGCCUGGGCUUCAAGAAGAGGGAUGUCCUCGGCUACAGCAAGCCCCCCGAGGCCCUGCGGCUCAUGCAGCAGCUCAAGGCCCUCCUGGACCCCAAAGGCAUCCUGA
rnacentral:lncRNA from 1 species